rnacentral:lncRNA from 1 species
CUGCAGAAGGUGGUUCAGGGGUAAUAUUACUGUUAUCAUAAAAAUCUGGAAAUGGGUAUUUUUCACCUGAGUUUUUGAAAGCAUGUAGGCCCAUGGAAGAGGUGGCUGCUGCCGAGGUUAGGAAAUAAACUGCCGGAAUAUUGUGAGACGAAGCGAUUUCCGGUGCCCAUGAGGGAUUGAAAUCAUAAAUAAGCAAAUCAGGGUUUAAGGUUUUAAGGAUUUCAGAGAAGGUGGGGGCUGCUGUUUCAAAGGCGUUUCUGAGUGGGACCAUGAGAUGGGAAGGGAGGCCAUUUGUGGUGUGGUAGUGAGGGGGAAGAUCAGGGGAAGAGGGAAGAUGAAGCUCUACUAGUUUUAUAGAAGCAGAGGAAUCCUUAUCAGAUACUCUGUUCUUGAUGGAGCUAAGAUUGAUUGGGGUAGAACAGAGGAAUAUAUUACAAUUUCUUUUUGAGAGAUGCUUGGCUAGCUCAAAGAAUGGAGAAAUGUGGCCAUGGGCUAAAAAUGGCAGCAUAACUAUACUGAUUCUACCUUUUUCGAUAUCCAUGAUGAACUCUGUUUUUCUUACUAAAUAAAUUUCUCUCACCCCUCUCUACUGAUUUCAUUAGCGAAGGUGGGGUGUACUAUAUAUAAAAUAGUUAUAUUACUAUUAUACUCCGUCCGUCCCUUCCUUAUUAUUAUUUUGGGUAAUCUCAUGUUAAAUGUCUAUUUUUUUUAAUAACUAAAUUUUUACACAUUUCUUCCUAUUAUACCCAUAGCAUUAAAUAUUUUAUAUUUUUAUUAUUCUAAUUCUCUCCAUAUUUAUUAAGCAUAAUUAGUUAUGUGCUGAAAAUAUUUUGAAUUGAAAAGUUAGAAAAUUACUCUCUCACCUCCAUUGAAAAUAAUUAAAGACAUAUUAUUAUGAGUAAUUUUAUUAUUUUAUUCCUCUUUUUAAUAUGCGGAUUUUUAUCCUGGACGGAGGGAGUAAUAUACGGCGUGUAAUCAAUCACACGCGUACUGAGUGACGUAUGUAGUUUGUAUCGUUAUUGGGCGAUGAAAUUAAUGACAUUGUUGGCUGCAAAAAGAUGAAUAAGAUAUGUUGAGAUAGAAAAUAGGAAAAAUUAAUAAUAAUUUUUUUAAAACUAUCCCUUAUUAUUCUGUUUAUUUUUUUAAUAUUUUAAACUCUUUCUCUCUUUUUAUCCUAACAAAAGAUUUAAGAGUAUUAUAGACAAUUGAGUAUUAUUAUAUUUAAUAUUUUUUAAUCAUUAUUUUAAUUCUUAUGUCCACUUUUAAAUAGGAAAUAGUAAUUUUCCUAUUAAGAGUACUACUCCAUAAUUUUAUUAUUGUUAUUAAUUAAGCUCAUUAAAUGAUAAUACUUAUUCUUUGCCUUGUGUACUUAUCCUUCUAUGCAGAUAGAGAAUAAUAGGAUCGGUCGGAAUAACAAAAAGCACCAAUAAUUUAUUUAUUCGUUGGAAUAAAAUUCUUUUAUCAAUUUUCUAUUUUUAAUGAUCGUCAUUUUUUAUGCAAAUGUCACUUGUGUUGGCUAACGGACAACUUGCUUAAGCUAAAAUAAGUAAAUAACGAGUGCCGUCCAAAGUUUUGCCUCUUUUUUAAUCAUUUUUUAUUAGUAUUAUUGGAUGCCCAUUUUUUAAAUUUAUUGCUGAUGUUACUACGCAUUUUGAAAAGUUAAAGCAUGCACCUUUUCGCCGAAGGCUUUUAUUUUUUUUUAGAUAUUUUUGCAUUAAAAAAAUAAUAUUUUUAUAUCAAAAUUUAUAACGAUAUUUUUUAUGUAAAAAUAUUACAAAAUAUUAUGAAAAUAUCAAUUUAUUUAAAAAAAUGACAAAAUAUUAAUGGCAAACUGCAAGUAUAAUUUUAUACUAGAUGGUUUAAUAUUACAAUGUAUACAUUUCUAAAUAUUAUAUUGUCCGAUUCUAAAUAAGUGAUACAUUUUAAUUUUUUAGAGUCAAUUUAUAAAAUUUUAAAUUUUAAAAUUAAUAUAAUCUGGUUCAAGUUUUAAAAAUAGUAAAGAUAAUAUUUUAUACUUAUUUUAUAAUUAUUAUUUUUAUUUGUACUAAAACUAAAUCAUUUCAUAUCAAUUUUAAAAUUUUAUAAACCGAUUUUAAAAAAAUCAAAACAUUUCUCUUAUUUUAAAAUGAAUUGAGUAUAAGUUGGUCAAAAGUUGGUUGGUUAUGGGUCAUGUUCACAAGUAUAUAAGAAUAUUACUAUAAACAUGACUUUAAGACUUGGUUGUUACGGAAAAAUGUUGUCCUCUAUCCUCAAAAGACGGUCUUUAAUUUACAAAAUAUUUUAUUUCUAAAAAAUAUAUUUUAAAUAUACAAGUUAAAAAUAAAAUAAUUAUAAGACUAAUUUACCCUAAAAAAUAUAUUAAAAUAAGAUCCACUAAAUUUAAAGAGACAAACAUUUAUUAGUAUAAUAGAAUGGAGUUCACCAUGAACAAGAUUGAUAUUUAUUUUAUACUAAUUCCACUCUUUUAAGUUUCAAUUAUCUAAUACCCCCAUCAAAGAAAUCAAAACAAAAUUGAAAGAGAGGAAAUUAAUGGAGCCCUUUUCAAUGUUUUAAUUCUCGUGUUAUGUUUGGAUUGAAAAAUUAAAAUUAGUAAAAGAAUGGAAUAGAGAAGAUAAUAAAAUGGAAUAGAAAGUGAAAAAAUUUAUUUCAUUUCAGCUAAAAUGAUUCAUUUCAUUUUAAUGAACAACCAAACACGAGUUAUUCUAUUUUCACCUUUAUUUCUCUAAUCUACAAAAGUUUUUUAUUUAUUUAUAAUUAAUAACUUAUGAAAUGACACAAUAUUCUAACUAUAGGUAUCAUAAUUUAUUAUCAAACUAACGAUGUUUUUUUUGUUUGGGCAAAUGAACAGAGAUAAAAUUCAAGUAUAUAACAAGUUAAAGAGGAGAUAAAUUAAUUUGUAAGAAUAAUUUGAUUAUUAAUUUAUAAUUUUUAAAUAUAAUGAGUAUAAUCAUAUAUACAUGCACCCAUUAUUAUUUACCAAAAAACAUUCUCAUUAAUUGAUUAAAUUUUUUUUCACUUUAAAUAUACUCCAAAAGGAAUAUAAGCUAUAUUGGUACAUGAAUAAUACUAGAUCCCUAAAGUAUUAUAUUUUCAUCAACUAAAAACCUAUUUUAGAUUGACAAUAAACUAGAAUUCUGACAUAUAAUUCAAUUACUAUCAUUUAUAAAAAUCACCAAUCAAAUAAUUAUUCUAGAGUCCUAGCUAAAGUAAAUGUACACUACAUUUAAUUAUUUAUCUUAAAAUUCACCGAAAUAAACUUACAAUAUAUAAUUCAAUUAUUCAUCUAACUAGAUAAAAAUUUAAUAAAUCAAUAUUAUUUUCUCAAAAUUCUAAUAUAUCAUAUUUAUACUAAGAAUAAAGAAACUUUUACACAUCCGGUCGAAGUUCACACAAUUUAAAUAGAAUAUAUAUAUAUAUAUAUAUAUAUAUAUAUAUAUUCAAUAACAAUAACAACAACAACAAUAAUAAUAAUAAUAAUAAUUUUAAAAAAAAACUAACAAUUGAAUUAAUUAAAUGGAACAUUAAAUUAGUAAAUAAUUGUGAAAAACAAUGAACCUAAAUUGAAAUGAAUUACAAUCGCCAAAAAAAAGAGAAAAAAGAAAGAUAACUUUUUUUUUUAUUAUUAUAUUCAACUGAAAUUUAUUAUUUCUGUCUUUUGACAAAAAUAGAUCCCAAACCUCAUGCACUCAAGCCUAAUCAAUAAAUUUUUUAACCAUUGAACCAUGGUAUGAAAGAUAACUCGUGACUCACACAGGUUCCAAGCUUGUAUAUGUUAAACUUCAUGUGACUGAAAAAACUAAUCAACUGCAAUCAUAACUAGGAGUCGUUUCAGGGUGUUGGAGUGUGGUUUGAUGGGUUCGGGGGAAUGGAAGGGUCACAGUUGAUCUAUAAAUCCCUUGUUUUAAUUAGCUUAAUUCUUCUUUUUGAAGAAGUCAAAUCUGGACUUACAAUUAUAAGGACCAUCAACAUAGGAUUGUUCAUUGUGCAUGUUUAAGUUCAUUAAUUGGUGAUUUAAUAAGCGGAUAAAUUUCGACGUUAACACAAGAUAUGAAAUUCAAUGAGACGAGAGAAGGCUUUCCUCCCAUACGUGGACCUACUUGAGAUGAGCAGAAUAUGUCUGAGCAACUUUGUCAGAUCAGGAAUCUGUUAAAUUUUGCCUCGGUUAGGCUAGCUGUAAGACAGACAUCAUCACAGAGAGGUUAAAGAGUAGCUAGCUGAGAAAAAAUCUGUUCUUUCACGUACAAUAUACUUGGCAAGACAUUGUAGACUUUUAGCAGAGCUUAAUUUAGUUUUAUUACAUACCAAACCAAUGAAAAUCAACCAUUCCUUGGUUUAGUACAAAAACCACUUGAAUUAUAGCAUACAAAGAAAGAGUUCAAAACCCAACCUAAGCGCAUUCAAAAUUAGUACUACUACUAUUACUAUUGUGCAUCUUUCUUCUUCUUACAAAUUUGUACUAGCUCCUCCACUGCCCUAUCAAUCUCUUCCUCUCCUUUCUCUUUCAUUUUCUCACUCAAUUCCCUUGCUUUCCUCCUCAUAACCUCCCCACUUUUCUCCACAACGACUUUUCUUAUUACCUCUGCAAUCCCUUCUCUCUUAUACUUCCCAUUUUCAUCUCUCACAACCUCCAUGCCCACACCAACCUCCGCCGCCAGCUUACCAUUCAAAGGCUGAUCAAGAUGCCUGGCCAUGGCAAUUACUGGAACCCCAAACUUCAUACUCUCCGCAAUAGAACUCCACCCACAAUGGCUCACAAACCCACCGGUGCUUGAAUGUCCUAAAAUUCUUGCCUGUGGAGCCCACCCCUCCACAACCAAUCCUCUGUCUCCUACCCUUUGAACAAAUCCCUCUGGUAAAACCCCUUUUUUCUCUCCUUCAAUUAAUCUCACAGCCCAUAUGAAAUUAACCAUGCUAAUCUCUAGCCCAAUUGCUACUUCUUCCAAUUCCUCAUUGGAGAGAAAAUACUCACUUCCAAAGCAGACAAACACCACUGUAGAUUCAGCCCUUUUGUCAAGCCAGUUUAUAAUCUGCUCUGUUUUUGGAUCUUCAUUAUGGCCCAUAGGAUCUUGAACGAGUGGACCAACAGGAACCAAAGUUUUAUCAGAUAAAGUGGAAAGCAAAUCGAUAUAUUUCCCUUCUAGUUCUAUAAAACUCUUAAUCAAAAUAAUGUCGCAAGAUCGUUCGAAACAAGCGAUAAAAUCAUGAAGUAGCUUCAUGUUAUCUGCAGAAGGUGGUUCAGGGGUAUUAUUACUGUUAUCAUAAAAAUCUGGAAAUGGGUAUUUUUCACCUGGGUUUUUGAAAGCAUGUAGGCCAAUGGAAGAGCUGGCUGCUGCCGUGGUUAGGAAAUAAACUGCCGGAAUAUUGUGAGACGAAGCGAUCUCCGGUGCCCAUGAGGGAUUGAAAUCAUAAAUAAGCAAAUCGGGGUUUAAGGUUUUAAGGAUUUCAGAGAAGGUGGGGCCUGCUGUUUCAAAGGCGUUUAUGAGUGGGACCAUGAGAUGGGAAGGGAGGCCAUUUGUGGUGUGAUAGUGAGGAGGAAGAUCAGGGGAAGAUGGAAGAUGAAGCUCAACUAGUUUUAUAGAAGCAGAGGAAUCCUUAUUCUUGAUGGAGCUAAGAUUGAUUGGGGUAGAACAGAGGAAAACAUUGCAAUUUCUUUUUGCGAGUUGUUUGGCUAGCUCAAAGAAGGGAGAUAUGUGACCAUGGGCUAAAAAUGGUAGCAACGCUAUACUGAUUCUACCUUCUUGGUUAUCCAUGAAUGAACUCUGUUUGUUUCUCUCUCUCUUGCUGUAUAAUUUCAUUAGCCAAGGGUGUGUAUAUAAAUAAAAGAGUAAAAUAUAUUGACACCCCCCGUACAUAAUUAUAAUAACACUCACCAUUUUUUUAGUUUUUCAAGUAACAGUCAGUACCCCUCUAAUCUACAAUAUGUAACAUUCACCGCCUCUAGUAUGGUUGACCAACUAAUAUUUAAAAAUAUUUUUAAUAUAAUGUCUAAUACACCCUUCAAGUUAUAAUGUUUAAUUUCUCCACUAAAUAUAAAUUUGUAUAUCAUAAUUUUUAUUUUACUUGAUCUAAUUAAUUAAAUUAUGAAAUUGUGUAAUAAAUAACAUAAAAGUCAAAAAAUAAUAAAUAUUCAUUUUAUCAGGAAAAUAAAGUCAUGCAAUUUUUAUUAAUUAAAUUUCUCAAAUAUUAAAAUUUAUGUGAUAUAUAUUCAAAUAAUUUUUUUUAAUUAAAAAGUAUAAUAUUAAUACCCAUGAAAAUUACAAAUUAACGCAAUAAAAUUAUUAUUAUUAUUUUCAAAUAUUAAAAUUUACGUAAAACAAACUUAUUAUUACAAUUUAAACGAAUCUUAUUACUCAUAUAAAAAAGUAUUAAAAAUUAUAUUAAUUAUUUUUCUCAUAUAUUAAACUAAACAUAAGUCACACUUAAACAUAAUUAUUUACAGUAAAAAUGACAAAUGUUGUUACUUAAAAAAGAAAAGAAAAAAUAUAUGAAAAGAAUUUUUUUUUAAAAAGAUAGAGGUAGUAAUAAUAUAAUUAUAUUUUUUUAUUUAAUAUUACAUAAAAACAGCGUCAACUGUAUACUAAAAAAAUAUAAUCAAAAUCAUAAACAUCCCAAUUUUUUAUAUAUACUCAAUAAAAAUUAUAAUAUGAAAUAAAAUUCAAAUAAUAUUUUUUGUUGUUAAGUACCAAAAAUUAAACUAUCAAUAUACUCAAUCACUCUAAUUAGAAUAGCUUCAUUAAUAAUUUAAUUUUUUUAAAUAUUUAUAUCACUUAUCCAAAAAUAUGUGUUAGUUAAAGUAAAUUAAUUUUUUAUAAGUUACCAACAAUUUAAAUGAGAUAGUUUUAAUUAUAAAUAAAAUUAUAAUUAAAAUGUCUUGUAUUAAAAAAAAGGAUAAUUAAAUAUAUAUAUAUAUAUAUUAUUUAGUAAUUAAAAUUUGAUAAAAUACAAGGGUAAAUAUGUAAUUUUAUCUAUUUAGUCAAUCCUAAAAACUUGCAGAGGUACUAACUGUUAUUUAAAAAAUUAGAGGAGAGGUGAAUGUUAUUAUGAUUAUCUAGAGGGGAUGUCACUGUAUUUUAUUCUAAAUAAAAUAAGUGGACAAGGGGUAGCGCCGCCCAAGAAGACGAGAUUGAGAUUGGGAUUGGGAAUUGGAAAGAGUGGCCUAUAACUCUUGAUCCCAACACGUGUUAAACGUGAUUGGGAAAGACAGGCAUAUAAGUCUUGUUGUCCCAAUUGUGUGUUGAUCUUAAAACUUAAAACUUCGCGUGGCUGAAAUAAAUAAGCCACUGCAAUCAAAAAUCAAAACUAUGAUUCUAUUAUAAAGUCACGCCAUUUUAUUAAUUUUUUUUAUAAAUAUAUUAUUGAAUUUAUUAAGUAAAAUAAUUUUAAUAAGAAUAUAUUUUCUUUCAAAAAUUAUAAGUAUUAUUUAACUUAUAAUAAAAUUUUAUUUAUACUUAAACUUAAUUAAUUACAUUUGUAUUUUAAUUAAGGGUAAAAGUUCAAAUUAGGUAAUACUAUAUAUGUGGAAGAAAAAAAAUUGUCAAACUAUAUUAUCUAGGCUAUAAUAAAAUUUUAUUUAUUAAUGGUAAUAAUUAAUUUUCCAGAUAUAUGACCCAAAAAUGUAGCAAACUGCCACUGCCUAACCAUUAGAGGUCAUUCUCACCAAGGCACGACUCUAGAAGUUCGAAAUUCCAUAGACAAUCUAAACCACAAUUAUGCAUUGUAAAUAUCACAUAUUAAGCAUAAUUAAAAAUGGGAAAUAAAGUAAUUAAGUUGGAAGAUUCUGAACGGUCCUUGUUCUUUAUCAAUUAAAAGAUUUAAAAUGUUCUGUUUGAGUAUAUAGAUAUCCUGAAUUUUUAAUAUUUUUUCAUUUUAGGAUUGUCUUUUCAAUUUUUUCUAUUACAAGAUUAAAUUUUUAAUUUUUUUUUAUUACGUCUAAUUGAUAAUAUCAUGUCAGAAAAUUAAUGACAUAGUAGCGACACAUAACUAAAAAAAUACUUAUAUAUAUUAUUGAGUCUCAUUUUAAUAUUUAUUCAAAAAAAAAAAUAAAGGUGUAAAUUCGCAGUACCGUAAAUACCAUUUACUUAAAAUGAUGGAACCAAGUUGUUUAAAUUUUUACAUCAUUUAAAAAAAUAUCAUUGACCCUUGUUAUCCAUUUUCCAUCAUAACAUGGAAUCUCUCAUACAUGAUAUAACAAUUCUUAAUCACUUAUUUUUAAAUACAUUCAGAUCUAAUUUUCAUAUUUGUAUAAAAAAAUCUCCUUCAAUUUAAUUCAGCUCUCUACAUACUGCGCGUUAACUAUAAUUAAGACCUUUCAAAUUACUUUUAGAAGGUAAAAUAUCUAUAAAUAAAAUUAAAUACUCCACUACUUGUCUUAUUAUUGGGACGGUCUCAUCGUGAUUAGUGCCAAUUAUAUAUUACUAUUUUCGUUCUUAAGAGAUUGUCAUUUAAGAUUUUUACAUAUGAAUUAAAAAAUUACUGUAUAAUUUAUCAAGUAAAAUUUAUUUGAAAUUCCAUCACUACCUCUUUAUGGGAAAUUAAAAACUAUUAAUACAAAGAAGAGAAUUUUUUCGGACAAUGAGAGAAAGUAGAGAUAAUAUAGAAAAGUAAAUAAUUUAUUCUUCUCAAAAGUUAUAAACGACAAAUAUUUUAAAAUAUAUUUUUUUUAAAACGAUAAUCUUUUAACAACGGGAGGAGUAAUAUAAUUGGCAAGACAUUGUAGGCUUUUAGCAGCUUAAUUUAGUUUUAUUACAUACCAAACCAAUGAAAAUCAACCAUUCCUUGAUUUUCUUCACAACACAAAGUCCAAGUACACAAACCACUUUAAUUAUAGCAUACAAAGAAAGAGUUCAAAGCCCAACCUAAGCGCAUUCAAAAUGAUUUUAAAGGGAAAAAAAUUAGUCUAUUACUACUAUUGUUCAUCUUUCUUCUUCUUACAAAUUUGUACUAGCUCCUCCACUGCCCUAUCAAUCAAUUGCUCUCCUAUCUCUUUCAUUUUCUCACUCAAUUCCCUUGCUUUCCUCCUGAUAACCUCCCCACUUUUCUCCACCACGACUUUUCUUAUUACCCCUGCAAUAUCUUCUCUCUUAUACUUCCCAUUUUCAUCUCUCACAACCUCCAUGCCCACACCAACCUCCGCCGCCAGCUUAGCAUUCAAAGGCUGAUCAAAAUGCCUGGCCAUGGCAAUUACUGGAACCCCAAACUUCAUACUCUCCGUAAUAGAACUCCACCCACAAUGGCUCACAAACCCACCGGUGCUUGAAUGUCCUAAAAUUCUUGCCUGUGGAGCCUACCCCUCCACAACCAAUCCUCUGUCUCCUACCCUUUGAACAAACCCCUCUGGUAAAACCCCUUUUUUCUCUCCUUCAAUUAAUCUCACAGCCCAUAUGAAAUUAACCAUGCUAAUCUCUAGCCCAAUUGCUACUUCUUCCAAUUCCUCAUUGGAGAGAAAAUACUCACUUCCAAAGCAGACAAACACCACUGUAGAUUCAGCCCUUUUGUCAAGCCAGUUUAUAAACUGCUCUGUUUUUGGAUCUUCAUUAUGGCCCAUAGGAUCUUGAACGAGUGGACCAACAGGAACCAAAGUUUUAUCAGAUAAAGUAGAAUAAAAAUCAAAAUAUUUCCCUUCUAGUUCUCUAAAACUCUUAAUCAAAAUAAUGUCGCAAGAUCGUUCGAAACAAGUCAUAAAAUCAAGUAAUAACUUCAUGUUAUCUGCUGAAGGUGGUUCAGGGGUAAUAUUACUGUUAUCAUCAAAAUCUAGAAAUGGGUAUUUUUCACCUGGGUUUUUGAAACUAUGUAGGCUCAUGGAAAAGGAGGCUGCUCCCCCAAUUAUGAAACAAACUGCCGGAAUAUUGUGAGACGAAGCGAUCUCCGGUGCCCAUGAGGGAUUGAAAUCAUAAAUAAGCAAAUCAGGGUUUAAGGUUUUAAGGAUUUCAGAGAAGGUGGGGCCUGCUGUAUCAAAGGCGUUUCUGAGUGGGAUCAUGAGAUGGGAAGGGAGGCCAUUUGUGGUGUGGUAGUGAGGAGGAAGAUCAGGGGAAGAUGGAAGAUGAAGCUCUACUAGUUUUAUAGAAGCAGAGGAAUCCUUAUCAGAUAUUCUGUUCUUGAUG